rnacentral:misc_RNA from 1 species
AUGGCGGUCGUUCAAAGAAAAAGGGACGGUGGGCCAAACUUGAAAUUUUACGAAGCGGCAGAAACAAUCACGCAGUUUGACGGCGUGAAGCAAUGGCUCCACAAGAACUGCAAAAAGUACACUCAGGCAGAACCGCCAACGAACAAGGGACUGGCGAGCUUGGCGAUUCAGCUCAUCCAGUUUCAAGAAGAUGCAUUUGGCAAAAGCGUGAGCAAGCCGCCGCUGACACGACUUCCAAUGAAAUGUUUUAUGGACUUUAAGCCUGGAGGUGCACUUUGCCACAUCUUUGCUGCUGUCUACAAGUUCAAGAGCGAGCAGGGAUGGCGCAGGUUUGACUUCCAGUCUCCCUCCCGCAUGGACCGCAACGUGGAGAUGUUUAUGACCGUCGAGAAGACUCUGGUGCAGAACAAGUGCUUGUCUCUUCCCCACAUCUACAUCUCCCCCGAGGUGGAGAAGCAGCUCAUCUCUCGGCUGAAGGACAUCAUCAAGAGGCACCAGGGCACCAUUGCAGAAACUCAAGACGAUGCCAGUCACAUCGUCUACCCUCCCGCGCCCGUGACAGACACCUCUGAAGAAUACGUGCGCUUGGUGAUGAAACGAGACCGGAGUGCUCUCAUCCACUGGUGGUAUUUUCCCGACAGUUUCGACACCUGGGUGGCCGGCCUUGACAUCGACAUGGAGCCAGACUCCCCUCAAACCCAUACCGGGCCUCACGAGGUUAAUGCAAAGUGGCUCAUUGACCUGGAUGAGUACAACGAAUGGAUGAAUGAGGAGGACUAUGAGGUCGAAACAGAUGCCAUGGGCCGAAGGAGGUCUCCCAGGGGAAAGUACACUUUGGAUGAGCUGCUCUCUGGUGAAGGCGAGCGGCGCGACAGGAAAGGCAUCAAGAAACGCAAGAGGUCUCCGUCUCCCCCUUUGGACAAGCGGAAGCGCAAGGGGGGAGGGCGCAGCCCAGCCAUGGGCAAGAAACGAUCUUUCCGCGACGACGAAUCAGACGACUUGACCAAGGACAUGGAAGAGCCCUCUCCCGAGCCCAGUGUGCAGGAAGUCUCGAUCCCCAAGAGCAACCCGAACCAGCGGAGCAGCAAAGACAGCGAACUGCAGCCUGUCAAGGGGGGCACCCUAAUGGAUCUGGAUGGAGCAGACCUGGACGAGAAAGGUGACAGAGACAAGGGAUCAAGGCCGGGCAGCCCCAACGGAGCUGGAAAGAGCGAGAAGGCAGACGCGCAUGAUGACAAUGUGACGGAACAGGCAAACCACAUCAUCAUCCCCAGCUAUGCUGCAUGGUUCGACUAUAACAGCAUUCAUGCCAUCGAGCGACGGGCCUUGCCAGAGUUCUUCAAUGCCAAGAACAAGUCAAAGACACCAGAAGUGUACAUUGCAUAUCGCAAUUUUAUGAUCGACACAUACCGGUUGAACCCCACCGAGUACCUCACUGUGACUGCUUGCCGGAGGAAUUUGGCUGGCGAUGUGUGUGCCAUCAUGAGGGUACAUGCGUUCCUGGAGCAGUGGGGGCUGGUGAACUACCAGGUGGAUGCGGACAGCCGACCGACUCCUAUGGGGCCCCCCUCCACCUCCCACUUCCACGUGCUGGCUGACACCCCCUCUGGACUGCAGCCCCUCAACCCUCCCAGGACUCAGCAGCCUUCAGCAGCGCAGCAGAUGCUGAACCUGGAUAAGGCCAAGGAGGUGGGGACGGACGGAAAGCCGGAGGAGGGCGGGGCGGCCAAGCCGGCCAUCGGGGACAUGCUGGGCCUAAAGAUGGACCAGUACGCCAAGAAGAACGCCUACCUGAAGCACCGGGCGGCGGCCACGGUGUCCCGGGAGUGGACGGAGCAGGAAACGCUGCUGCUUCUCGAGGCCCUGGAGAUGUACAAGGACGACUGGAACAAGGUGUGCGAGCACGUGGGCAGUCGCACUCAGGACGAGUGCAUCCUGCACUUUUUGCGCCUGCCCAUCGAGGACCCCUACCUUGACGACCCGGCCGCCGGGGGUGGAGCCCUGGGACCCCUGGCGUUUCAGCCCAUUCCGUUUUCCAAGGCUGGCAACCCGAUCAUGUCUACCGUGGCUUUCCUGGCCUCAGUGGUGGACCCCAGGGUCGCUUCGUCUGCAGCCAAGGCUGCCAUGGAGGAGUUUGCCAAGAUCAAGGACGAAGUGCCGUCGGCCCUCUUGGACGCCCACAUCAAGAACGUGGAGACCGCUGCGGCCGAGGGCAACGUGAAUCCCAAGGCGGGCCUGGGCAUGACCGGCAUUGCCGGCACAGCCGACAAGGAACCCACCGAAGGAGCAACGGCAGCAGCAGUAGCAACGACGGGAGAGGAGUCUGAAAAGGCGGAAGAAGGCAAGGAGGGCACAGAGCCUUCUCUCUCGGCGGAGGUCAAGGUGGAGAAGCCGAGCAGUUCUGAGGAGAACUCUGCGGCGUCCGUCGAGGGAGUGGCCUCGGGCGGAGAGGCAGCUGCGGAGGAGAAGGGCAAGGCGGCCCCAGAGGAAGCCCCCAAGGAGGGCGACCCCGAGGCCAUGGACACGGAGGAGCCCAGGGCCCCCGAAACCGAGAGGGACCGCCUGGUGAAGGACGCGCAGCUGUCCACUGCGGCCGCCGCCGCCCUGGGUGCGGCAGCCGUCAAGGCCAAGCACCUGGCAGCGGUGGAAGAGCGCAAGAUCAAGUCACUGGUGGCUUUGCUGGUGGAGACCCAGAUGAAGAAGCUGGAGAUCAAACUGCGCCACUUUGAGGAGCUCGAGGCCAUCAUGGACAGGGAGAGGGAGACGCUGGAGUACCAGCGCCAGCAGCUGAUCCAAGAGCGGCAGCAGUUCCACCUGGAGCAGCUGAGGGCGGCCGAGUUCCGCGCCCGGCAGCAGGCGCACGCCAUGAUGAUGGCCCAGCAGGGGGCGGCAGCCGCUGCGGCCGCCGCCGCCGCACCGCCCGGCUCAGGGGGCCUGCCGCCCCAAGGGGGCGCCGGCGGUGGAGGAGGCCCCAACCCCGAGGACCCAGGUCAGCACCCCCGCGGCCCCUCCUCCCAGCAGCCGCCCUCGCACCGCACGCCGUACAGCUACGGGCCCUCGUACGGGGCCGCAAUCCCCUCUGGCAUGGGGCCUCAGGGCAGGCCCGUGGGGCAGUUCCCUGGCCCCGGGGAAGGGUUCAGGGUCCCCCAUGGGGGCGGGGGCAACCCCGGGGCUUCCCCAGGCAUGCCUCUCUCUUCGUCCUCUGUCGGAUCGCCGGGCAUGCACCCCUCGGGCGCCUAUCGGCAACAUUCUUUUGGGAUGGGACACCCAUACUAAACGAUGCUGUAAGAACGGAUCUAUGCACCGUGGAGCCUUUCGUUUGGUUCACAAAUGGACAAUCUGGCCACCAGAAAGAUUCAGCAUUCUGCUUUGUGCCCAAGAACUGCUCUAGUCUCGUUUCAUCAAAUUAACAGUGAAGAGAAGCCACCACAAAAGAAGUGACCCCUUUCAAUUGUGUGCAUUUCGUGUUCUACUCGGUGUUGCGUACAACCUACGAGUUCUUCCAGAACCCUAAUUCACUUUAUUGUUUUCCAGUGUGCUUGUUUGGACAUGAGAAACAGGACUGUUCCUUUUUCUUUUUUUUUUCGUGUGCCUUGAAAUUUUUUUUUAGUCGCUUCAAUGAUGCACAAAACUAUGCUCGGCUCGUCUGAGGUUUUGAAGUAAUUGAACCGAGGUCUGCCAAAUAGCCACAUUUUUGGACAAGAUUUGCCAAGUUUGCAUAAUGAUGGUUGAGUAGUCAUACUGGCACUGUGCAUUGUACAAAGACACCCCCAUUUAGCUUGUUCAUGUCAUGCUCUCCAGCUGUGGCACGAACUCUCAGUGGGUGUCCUGUGUUAACAUCCACCGAGAGUAUACAAAUAACUUGUUUGUAAACUUGCCCUCGUAGAUCUGAAAAAGUGUAAUCUGAGAUUUAUCGUUCGCUGUUCUAGGUGCCUAGGUUUAGCCACUCUUCAAUUUGCAUGGAAUUGAACUUUCGCUGAGUGCAUCUAUGAAAAGAUAU